rnacentral:misc_RNA from 1 species
UGCUAUCAUCAAAUAUGCAUGACAGAGCACACAUACACUUGAAGAACACUUAACUCUGCAGACUUUCAUGUUCAGUAGUUAACCCUUUUGCAUUCCUGCAUGGUUGCAUUAAUGUCUGUGCCAAUAUGUCAAAUAUCAACUAUAGACUGAAAAUCCUGAUAAUGAAUGCAAAUGAACUGUCUUUGUGGAAAUUUCCUCUGGUGUUUAUGCUUAUUGAAAUUACAAGAAGUUAUACAAUUAAUUAUAUUCACCACCAGCUUACCAUUGUUUUGUGAUACUUCCAUCUAUGGUUAUUGACAUAUUUGAGCAGGCAGUGCAGUGGUUAAAUCUUGAAUUUCCAACUUGGAGGUUUCAGGUUCCAACCAGUGGUGUGGAAAGAUAUUGGGGGUAGGAGGAGAGGUGAGGGAUUGGGAUGUAUAAGAUGAGUGAGGGUUGCUCUUGUUGUGUAGCUUGAAGCCUCAUGAGACUCCUAGUCAUCCAAAAAGAGCAUUACUUGUGGUUUCCCAAUAUCUUUUUGUGCAUGUUGUUGUGAAUAUUAAUAUUUUCGAGUAAUAUGUUUUGACUUUGAAAACAAAUUGUGUGAGAAGCAUAAUAUUAUUUCGUUUGCUUCUCAUAUACCUAGCUUAAUGUUAAGUUUGAAUAAGGAAAUGACCAUAAAUUCAUGUACAAACAUGCAAAUGCAUGUAAUGUAGGAUUCAAGAAAAAUUAUGGUAAAUGAGCCAUAUUUACAUUGCUUUUACUUCCUUUAUAGUAUAUGAAAAUUUUGGAUAGUUUUGUCAUUUCAUGGGCCAUGCAUGUUGAGAAGCUGACAGGUGCAUGGAAUUGUUCGACAGGGUAAAAUGAGGGUUUAGAUGUGGAGUUCACUCUCUUUGGCAUUUUCUAUGAUAGUGUGGGCUUUGAAUUUGUGGGACUUAGGGUUGCUUAUCUUACUUCACUUAUCAAAUAGUAAUGCUAAAAAAUAAGCCACUGGCUGACUUCAUUAUUUCUUUCUAUAUUUUCGGCUCUUCUGGAUAUUGUGUUUUCUCUAGAAAUGUGAAUGUUUUUCUUUAUAAAAGUUAAGGAAAGAAAUCAUAUGUGCUUAAUGGAUCUCUUUUAUGUUUUAUGUUUUAUUUUAAUGAAGGAAAACCAUACAUAUGCUCCAUAAAAAGAGAAGUGUAUACAUUGUCCAUCCUUAUGUUCAUAACUUGGAUUUUAGAAAGGAAGAACAAUGCCCUCAAGUAAAAUUUAAUGGAAAAGUUGUAAACAGAUAUUCAGCAAGUAAAUUGAAUUUAAGAUGCUAGCUGGAAAGGUUGUACUGGGAAUUUUUUAGCCCUUGAGCUCAACAAAUUUGUAUAUAAAUUAGUAUAUUUUCAUUGAUGUGUACUGUAUCCACUUAUUAAUGUAGGUCAAUAAUAUAAGGAAAUUUUUUGGAAAAAUCAGGGACCUCAUUCUGAUUUUCAUG